rnacentral:rRNA from 1 species
GCCCGCUCAGAACUCAAAGAAUUGACGGGGCCCGCACAAGCGGAGGAGCAUGUGGUUUAAUUCGAUGAUACGCGAGGAACCUUACCUGGGCUCGAACGUAAGAUGACUGUAGGUGAAAGCUUACAUCUCUUCGGAGCAUUUUACGAGGUGCUGCAUGGUUGUCGUCAGCUCGUGCCGUGAGGUGUCGGGUUAAGUCCCAUAACGAGCGCAACCCCUACCUUUAGUUGCCAUCAGGUAAUGCUGGGGACUCUAAAGGAACUGCCUACGCAAGUAGUGGGGAAGGCGGGGAUGACGUCAAAUCAGCACGGCCCUUACGUCCAGGGCUACACACGUGCUACAAUGGCCGAUACAGAGGGCAGCUACCUGGUGACAGGAUGCAAAUCUCCAAAGUCGGUCUCAGUUCGGAUCGGAGUCUGCAACCCGACUCCGUGAAGUUGGAUUCGCUAGUAAUCGCGCAUCAGCCAUGGCGCGGUGAAUACGUUCCCGGGCCUU